GUAUAAUGGGUCAGCGACUUAUAUUCUGUAGCAAGGUUAACCGAAUAGGGGAGCCGGAGGGAAACCGAGUCUUAAUUGGGCGUUAAGUUGCAGGGUAUAGACCCGAAACCCGGUGAUCUAGCCAUGGGCAGGUUGAAGGUUGGGUAACACUAACUGGAGGACCGAACCGACUAAUGUUGAAAAAUUAGCGGAUGACCUGUGGCUGGGGGUGAAAGGCCAAUCAAACCGGGAGAUAGCUGGUUCUCCCCGAAAGCUAUUUAGGUAGCGCCUCGUGAAUUCAUCUCCGGGGGUAGAGCACUGUUUCGGCUAGGGGGCCAUCCCGGCUUACCAACCCGAUGCAAACUGCGAAUACCGGAGAAUGUUAUCACGGGAGACACACGGCGGGUGCUAACGUCCGUCGUGAAGAGGGAAACAACCCAGACCGCCAGCUAAGGUCCCAAAGUCAUGGUUAAGUGGGAAACGAUGUGGGAAGGCCCAGACAGCCAGGAUGUUGGCUUAGAAGCAGCCAUCAUUUAAAGAAAGCGUAAUAGCUCACUGGUCGAGUCGGCCUGCGCGGAAGAUGUAACGGGGCUAAACCAUGCACCGAAGCUGCGGCAGCGAACGUAUCACUUAAAGCGAUUCAGCGGGUUACGAUUGACGGAGCGAAGCGACGUCAAAGCGUAUACAAAGUCGAGUCGGUUUAAGGAUACGUUCGUUGGGUAGGGGAGCGUUCUGUAAGCCUGUGAAGGUGGCCUGUGAGGGUUGCUGGAGGUAUCAGAAGUGCGAAUGCUGACAUAAGUAACGAUAAAGCGGGUGAAAAGCCCGCUCGCCGGAAGACCAAGGGUUCCUGUCCAACGUUAAUCGGGGCAGGGUGAGUCGACCCCUAAGGCGAGGCCGAAAGGCGUAGUCGAUGGGAAACGGGUUAAUAUUCCCGUACUUGGUGUUACUGCGAAGGGGGGACGGAGAAGGCUAUGUUGGCCGGGCGACGGUUGUCCCGGUUUAAGCGUGUAGGUGUGUGUUCCAGGUAAAUCCGGUU
rnacentral:rRNA from 1 species